AAUGAGAAGAAGCAGCGACGACUACCCUAGCAAAUGAAAAGCCGAGGCUGAUGGCGUCGUUCUGCACAUGAAAAAUAGAACAAUUUGGGUUGGGACCACAGGCCCCCGCCGCCGUUUCACUCCUCAUCAAU
ensembl:ncRNA E01H11.4 ncRNA